rnacentral:lncRNA from 1 species
GGAGUUGCCUUUGGAGAGGAAGCCAAAUGUCAGAUCAUUUAGUCCCAUUGCCCUCACUUUAAAAAGACUAAUUCCCAAAAACACAUGAUUAACAGAUUAUGAUGCUUUACAAGAGAAAGGAAGCAUGAUUAAGCUGUUGGAAAUAUUAAUGAUUUAUUGAAUAACUAUUACGUGCCAGGCAAUGGGCGAGGACAUUUAAAUGCAUUAUCUCAUUUCAUGCUCACAUUAAUUCUACAGAGUUAGUUAUUAUCCCAGAAAAUGGAAAAAUGGAAAUAUUGAAUAAUGUGGUUCACAACUAGUGGCAGAGACAGGAUUUGACCCAGGUCUCUUUGAGUCCAAAGCCUACUCUUUGUACUAUACCACAUUUUCUCAUUUGAAUGAUUAUGAAGAAGGAAGAAGGAAUUCAUGCAUUCAUACACUUAGCAAUUAUUAAGUAAAAACUUAACAAAAAAUAAGUAGCUAUUGUUCAUUAUUAUGUAACAGAUACUGUAGAAAUAGUAUUAAAAUGUAAUAGAGCAUUUAAAAAUUGUUUUGUAUAGUUAUAUUUUUACCAGUUGUCUGUUUUUACAACUUUGCAGGUAGAGGGACUAUAAGGCACUUGCCCAAGAAACUGCUCAAGAAGUUUUAGAAUACAGUCAAGACACAUCAGGCUGGAAAGUGGUUUAGACUUCACUAAUUUAUUUCUGGAUUUUUAUUCCCCUUUGAGAAAAAGAUAACUGUUUCCAGCAAGGCUUCUAAAAAAUUCCAUGGAAAUCUAUAUCGUGUUGAAGGAAUAAUUCCAGAAUCAACAACUAAACUGAUUUCCUCUACAAACCUGAAAACAGUUGCAUGGGAUAAAUCAUUGAAAGUGUAUAAUAUGGGGCACCUGGGUGGCUCAGUUGGUUAAGC